AAAGAACCUGAAACCGUGUACGUACAAGCAGUGGGAGCCCCACCACUAAGCCAGUGGUGAACUCCACAUACGCAUCCUUUGCUGAAGGCAAUGGUUAACGGAGCGAAAGCGACGUUCAACCGCAAAACAAGCAGAGGGGGCUUAGUGGUGGGGUGACUGCGUACCUUUUGUAUAAUGGGUCAGCGACUUAUAUUCUGUAGCAAGGUUAACCGUAUAGGGGAGCCGGAGGGAAACCGAGUCUUAAUUGGGCGUUAAGUUGCAGGGUAUAGACCCGAAACCCGGUGAUCUAGCCAUGGGCAGGUUGAAGGUUGGGUAACACUAACUGGAGGACCGAACCGAC
rnacentral:rRNA from 1 species